GCCAGCUUGACGGAAUUGGUAGACGUAUCGCUACAGCGGCGAAGGUGCGGGUUCGAUCCCCUGCCGCUGGCA
rnacentral:tRNA from 1 species